UUCUUACGCAAUACCAUCAACAAUGGGGCUUUUGCGCGUUUUUUCUGGGUUUUAAUUCGGAACGCGGUAAUUUAAAGCGAAGGCUUACAGAGACGUUUUUCAGCUUCACGGUUUUCAAAGUCAGAAACCUUCCGAGAACGGUUCAUUAGAAAGCUUAAAAUAUAUCCAUUAGCGCGCCCCGACUUCGCUUUGCUUGCCAGAUGUGCGCCUGAGACAAUAGAACAAUGUUUUUCUCUUCGCUCAAACCUCUGAGCAACCCUCAUCUAUUCAGUUUUAUGCUGACAACAACCAUAUCUAUUUCUCAUAUCCACUUAAAAACAAGGAAAACUGACGGAACUUCUUGACUAUAAAUUGGAGUGGCACAUCAAUAAUUUAUUAUAAAUCCGAUAAUAAUUUAAUUUUUAUUUAGUAAAGCGUUCAAUUAUUUUCUUUUAGGAUUUUACCAUUUAAUGACCGAAUAAAUUAUUUUGCAAAUUAAAAAAAUGUUCUCUUAA